rnacentral:rRNA from 1 species
CCUACGGGAGGCAGCAGUGGGGAAUAUUGGGCAAUGGGCGCAAGCCUGACCCAGCAACGCCGCGUGAAGGAAGAAGGCUUUCGGGUUGUAAACUUCUUUUCUCAGGGACGAAGCAAGUGACGGUACCUGCGGAAUAAGCCACGGCUAACUACGUGCCAGCAACCGCGGUAAUACGUAGGGGGCAAGCGUUAUCCGGAUUUACUGGGUGUAAAGGGCGUGUAGGCUGGAAAGCAAGUCAGAUGUGAAAACCAUGGGCUCAACCUGUGGCCUGCAUUUGAAACUGUUUUUCGUGAGUACUGGAGAGGCAGACGGAAUUCCUAGUGUAGCGCUGAAAGGCGUAGAUAUUAGGAGGAACACCAGUGGCGAAGGCGGUCUGCUGGACAGCAACUGACGCUGAGGCGCGAAAGCGUGGGGAGCAAACAGGAUUAGAUACCCGGGUAGUC